GUCCGCACGGUAAACGAUGGAUGCUCGCUGUCGGCGAUACACAGUCGGCGGCCUAGCGAAAGCGAUAAGCAUCCCACCUGGGGAGUACGCCGGCAACGGUGAAACUCAAAGGAAUUGACGGGGGCCCGCACAAGCGGAGGAACAUGUGGUUUAAUUCGAUGAUACGCGAGGAACCUUACCCGGGCUUGAAUUGCUAAUGAAUGAUCUGGAGACAGAUCAGCCGCAAGGCAUUAGUGAAGGUGCUGCAUGGUUGUCGU
rnacentral:rRNA from 1 species